UAUUACGUCGUAUCUCCUAGUAAAUUUAGAACAAUAUCGUGUUGGAUGGCUAUACGGUCUCCUCACUGUCGUCAUCUUGAAGCUAUAAAAAAGUCCUGGAUUUAUCUAUCUAGCAUGUUGUGAUGACUAGGUCUACAUGACGAGAUUCUCCAGUGAAGACAGUAAUCUCGCUGACAUUGCACUACAGAAAUGGGGAAAAAAUUCAACUAGAUUCGAUAGUCACGUUUCGUCUUGUUUUCUAAUGGCAUGCACUGUACUUGAGUAGAUACUGUCGAUUGUUAUCAGUUCUGUAUCAAAGUCAUUCUACAUUGAAGAGGAAAGUUAUACUUGUUAAUAGAAAUUAAAUUUUUACUUCAAUUACAAACAGUCUGUUCGUUGGACAGUUUUUCCUCUAUUCCUAACUACAGAGAUCAUAUUUUCAGGAUACAUUCUAAUUAUAAAAG